GGCGGCGUGCCUAAUACAUGCAAGUCGAACGAGUUUUGGUCGAUGAACGGUGCUUGCACUGAGAUUCGACUUAAAACGAGUGGCGGACGGGUGAGUAACACGUGGGUAACCUGCCCUUAAGUGGGGGAUAACAUUUGGAAACAGAUGCUAAUACCGCAUAAAUCCAAGAACCGCAUGGUUCUUGGCUGAAAGAUGGCGCAAGCUAUCGCUUUUGGAUGGACCCGCGGCGUAUUAGCUAGUUGGUGAGGUAACGGCUCACCAAGGCGAUGAUACGUAGCCGAACUGAGAGGUUGAUCGGCCACAUUGGGACUGAGACACGGCCCAAACUCCUACGGGAGGCAGCAGUAGGGAAUCUUCCACAAUGGACGCAAGUCUGAUGGAGCAACGCCGCGUGAGUGAAGAAGGCUUUCGGGUCGUAAAACUCUGUUGUUGGAGAAGAAUGGUCGGCAGAGUAACUGUUGUCGGCGUGACGGUAUCCAACCAGAAAGCCAC
rnacentral:rRNA from 2 species